AGCUCCAAUAGUGUAUGUUAAUAUUGCUGCGUUUAAAAAGCUCGUAGUUGGAUCUCGGCCGCCCUGUCCCGGUGCGCUCCUGGCGCAACUGGGAACGAUGGGCGGCGUUUUUUGCGUCGGGAGCCGGGGUGCUCUUAACCGAGUGUCCCGGUGCUUUCCCCGGCGCAGGUUUACUUUGAAAAAAUUAGAGUGCUCAGCGCAGGCAAUCCUCGCCUGAAUAGUCGUGCAUGGAAUAAUGGAAUAGGACGUCGUUUCUAUUUUGUUGGUUUUCGGAAAUCGACGUAAUGAUUGAUAGGGACAGUCGGGGGCAUUAGUAUUCAGGCGACAGAGGUGAAAUUCUUGGACCGUCUGAAGACGAUCAACUGCGAAAGCAUUUGCCAAGAAUGUUUUCAUUAAUCAA
rnacentral:rRNA from 1 species